GUAGGGUGCGAGCGUUAAUCGGAAUUACUGGGCGUAAAGCGUGCGCAGGCGGCUUUGCAAGACAGAUGUGAAAUCCCCGGGCUUAACCUGGGAACUGCAUUUGUGACUGCAUGGCUCGAGUGCGGCAGAGGGGGAUGGAAUUCCGCGUGUAGCAGUGAAAUGCGUAGAUAUGCGGAGGAACACCGAUGGCGAAGGCAAUCCCCUGGGCCUGCACUGACGCUCAUGCACGAAAGCGUGGGGAGCAAACAGGAUUAGAUACCCUGGUAGUCCACGCCCUAAACGAUGUCAACUGGUUGUUGGACGGCUUGCUGUUCAGUAACGAAGCUAACGCGUGAAGUUGACCGCCUGGGGAGUACGGCCGCAAGGUUGAA
rnacentral:rRNA from 1 species